CACGUAGGGUGCGAGCGUUGUCCGGAAUUAUUGGGCGUAAAGAGCUCGUAGGCGGUGUGUCGCGUCGGCCGUGAAAACCUGCAGCUUAACUGUGGGCUUGCGGUCGAUACGGGCAUCACUGGAGUUCGGCAGGGGAGACUGGAAUUCCUGGUGUAGCGGUGAAAUGCGCAGAUAUCAGGAGGAACACCGGUGGCGAAGGCGGGUCUCUGGGCCGUAGCUGACGCUGAGGCGCGAAAGCAUGGGGAGCGAACAGG
rnacentral:rRNA from 1 species